UACGUAGGGUGCAAGCGUUAAUCGGAAUUACUGGGCGUAAAGCGUGCGCAGGCGGUUUUGUAAGACAGAGGUGAAAUCCCCGGGCUCAACCUGGGAACUGCCUUUGUGACUGCAAGGCUAGAGUACGGCAGAGGGGGGUGGAAUUCCGCGUGUAGCAGUGAAAUGCGUAGAUAUGCGGAGGAACACCGAUGGCGAAGGCAACCCCCUGGGCCAACAUUGACACUGAGGCACGAAAGCGUGGGGAUCAAACAGG
rnacentral:rRNA from 1 species